GUAUGCACCAAACGGCAGUCCGACCGAGAGAACUUCGGGCCUCCCGUGGUGAACGGGUGAGUCACACGUACGGGAACCCGCCCGCGCACCGGGAAUACGCUCCGGAAACGGAGAACAAAUUCCCGAUGUACAGGAAGGAGGCAUCUUUCUUUCUGUGAAACAUCCUUUAGGGGAUGGGGCGCGGAUGGACCUGCGGUGCAUUAGUUGGUCGGCGGGGUAAAGGCCCACCAAGACGAUGAUGCAUAGCCGGCCUGAGAGGGCGGACGGCCACAUUGGGACUGAGACACGGCCCAGACUCCUACGGGAGGCAGCAGUGGGGGAUAUUGCACAAUGGGGGGAACCCUGAUGCAGCGGCGCCGCGUGGGUGAAGAAGCGCCUCGGCGCGUAAAGCCCUGUCAGCAGGGAAGAAAAUGACGGUACCUGAAGAAGAAGCCCCGGCUAACUACGUGCCAGCAGCCGCGGUAAUACGUAGGGGGCAAGCGUUAUCCGGAUUUACUGGGUGUAAAGGGGGCGCAGACGGCGAUGCAAGCCGGGAGUGAAAGCCCGGGGCCCAACCCCGGGACUGCUCUUGGAACUGCGUGGCUAGAGUGCAGGAGGGGCAGGCGGAAUUCCUGGUGUAGCGGUGAAAUGCGUAGAUAUCAGGAGGAACACCGGUGGCGAAGGCGGCCUGCUGGACUGCAACUGACGUUGAGGCCCGAAAGCGUGGGGAGCAAACAGGAUUAGAUACCCUGUUAGUCCACGCCGUAAACG
rnacentral:rRNA from 1 species